rnacentral:rRNA from 1 species
UACGGAGGGUGCAAGCGUUAUCCGGAUUCACUGGGUUAAAGGGUGCGUAGGUGGGUUGGUAAGUCAGUGGUGAAAUCUCCGAGCUUAACUUGGAAACUGCCAUUGAUACUAUCAGUCUUGAAUACUGUGGAGGUCAGCGGAAUAUGUCAUGUAGCGGUGAAAUGCUUAGAUAUGACAUAGAACACCAAUUGCGAAGGCAGCUGGCUACACAAAUAUUGACACUGAGGCACGAAAGCGUGGGGAUCAAACAGG